GUGUUCACUUCAGCAGCACAUAUACUAAAAUCGGAACGAUACAAAGAAGAUUAUCAUGGCCCCUGCGCAAGGAUGACUCAUAUAUUCAAGAAGCAGUCCAUAUUUUU
rnacentral:snRNA from 1 species